rnacentral:lncRNA from 1 species
AUGGACGACUUCAGCUUCCCUGCAGCGGGCCGUGCAUCUGUGGUAUCUGUGAGCGCCUCCCCCGCCAGACUGAGGUGUGUCCCUCCAGGGUCGGACUUCAGCACCUCGUCCGAGGUGGCAGGAGGCUGUGCUCUUUGGUUUCGCCUAUCUCGGGCUUCCCGCCCCGCCGCGCAGGCAGCGGAACCCACAGCCGGGGCGUGUCGCGCAGUUCCGCGGAACCUCCCUGCCUCGGCGCGUCAGUCGUGUACUCUACCCCGGCAGGAACCGAACGGAGACGGAGAAGUCUCCUGGCACCUCCGGACGUGGGGACUACAGGCCUGGACAUCAAGCCCACCCGGCAAACUUUCCUUGGCAUGCCGGAGUUCUACGGCUUGCGGUACCAAAUCCUGGGCACACUGGACCAGUUUUCCGAACAUCAGGUAUAUAGAGGAGGUGAGAUGUACAUUUGUGCCUAUUAUAGGCUUACCUCUGGACCUCCAGAGCCAGGAGGAUGAAGCACUCCGGGGAAAAUUAGUUUUUUUGUUUUUCUGUUUUGUUUUGUUUUUUGGAAAUCAGAGCCACAAAAGAAUAUUCCCAGUUGGCGAAAAGUAAUUGGUGAUACUUGUCACAUGGUCAGAACAAAAAAAUAAAGCUCAGACUGAUGGAUAAGGUAAAUCUUAGUUAAGUUUUACAAAGGAAUUCAUCUCGAGAAAGGCAAUUUUAGUGAAAUUAAAAUGCAAAUAAUUGAAAGUGGUUUAAUACUGGUAUAUAGAAUUAAAUCGAUAUAACGGUGUUUGCUCUGGAAAAUACAUUUUAGACAAUGGUUCUUAGAGCUCUGAGUGUUUGUGUUCACAACACAGAAGACAUCUUGCAAUGGAAAAGUUUUAUUCUUAGAAGGAGCCUCAGAAACCAGCUGCAUCGGAAAGGUGAUUGACGGUCAGAGAGGAAAACUGACUGACUUACUAAAAGUAACGCGAGGAGUAUGAACAGUUGUAAAAAGAGUUCUUUUUUAAGAACCCUGUUCUUAAACAGGUCUUAAACCCUGUUCUAUUAACAGGUCUCUGAUUAGUUGAGUAGUGAUGCUCUAGGAGAAAGAGAAAAUAAAAUAGCUGUAAUCCCACAGAUUGGAUUUAGAGAGGGAGAGUGUAAUGAAAAGGUUAUAUAGGUUUUUGAAUAUUUUGAGUAAGGAACUUUGGGUUUGAACCCUGGCUCCAUAUCACUUAUGCCUUGGGAGCUACAGUUUCCCCACCUGUCUGGUAUAGAUUAUGCCUACUUCAUAGAUAGUUAAAGGAGUAAAUAACAUUAUCAGUUUAAAAGUUCUAGCACAGUGUCUUGCAUAUGAGUUGCUAUCAAGUUCAGGCCUCUGCUCUUCUUAGCUCCUAUGAAAGAGUUGACCUCUACCCACGCACCUCCACCCACUAUCCCCAAGCAACAUGGAACAAAGGAGCCUGAGUGAUCUACAAUUUGGGUAACCAGUUCUCAAGUCUUGUGGCUGAAGAUGAAUUCAGUAAGGAUGACAUAACUCAAUUUUGUUUUCUAUAUUGUGUAUUUGAGGAAUGGGUAAUAUGCCUUAUGGUGAGCACAUAUUUGAAUAUUUGUGUGCCAAAUUAAACUUGUUUUGCUUGUUUAUGCUACUAUUUUGCAAGGCCCUGGUCACUUAAUGCUGUUUUUCUCUCAUGCUUUCUUUCUCUCUCUUUUGGAGAGAGGAGGGGGAGGCAUAUAUGUGGUAGGGAUUUGGGAGAGGGCUAAGUGUAAGACCGAGGAAAGAAAAAACAACAUUGGGAGCAAGGGUGGCCUCCAGUUAGGCCCAAAGUCUUUGCUGAUAGAAUAGGGAUAAUCUAUGACAUGAGCAGUUUAUAAAUAGAUGCUGAGCAGAGGAUUUAGGAAAUGGAAGAGGCAGAUUAAGAUACCAUUUUUAUAAAGCCUGGUAGUAACUCAGGUGCUGUAUGUUUGAUUACUAAUUCAGUUUCUCCUUUAAAAAAAUUCUACUUCUAUUAAUUUUUUUCCUCUGCAAGUAGAAAUUUAUUGUGGAAAAAUAUUCGGAAUAUAGCAAGAUCUGCAAACCCGCAUUUCUUGGCUCAGUGGGCAAAAAUAAGGCAGCUCUUAGGUCAUUCAUUCAUUUACUUAGCAGUUUUUACUGAGGGCUUCCUCAUGUGUGCCAGGCAUGGUGUCAGGUUAUAAGGUCCCACUGGCCUGUAGAAGGAGCAGGGAAGACAUACUAGUGUCUCUGUGUGAGUACUCUGAGGGUGCUUUUACCCUUGUAUAAUUGAUAAUUUUUUUCUAUAAUUGUGGCAUGAUUUUCCAGAUUUAUACCACUACUUCUUGUUUUUUAUUUACUAUUUAUUUAUUUAUUUAUUUGAGACGCAGGGGGAGAGGGAGAGAGGCAGAGACACAGGCAGAGGGAGAAGCAGGCUGCAUGCAGGGAGCCCGAUGUGGGAUCGAUCCGGGGUCUCCAGGAUCAUGCCCUGGGCUGAAGGCAGAUGCUUAACCACUGAGCCCCCCCGGGCUGCCUUACUUCUUGUUUUUUUUUUUAAACUGAAUACUAGUUAUCUACAAACACCUUUUAUUUUAAUUAAUUAACUCUAAGAUUAGAACCCCUUCCAGUUUGGAAAUGUCAUGUAGUUAUAGAGCCUGCUUGCUAUAAAACAUAUUUUUCAACAUUCAAGCAUAGAUCCUCAAAACUUCAAUUAAUUAGCAGACAAGAGUAUUGAUCUAUUUAGAGAUAUCUAAAAGUAAUACUUAAACAUAAAAAGCAGAUAGGAGCAUAAUUUAAGUAAGUGGUAUAAAGACCUUAAGUUAAUACUUUUUUUCUUCAAAUUUUAUUUAAAAAUAAUUAUAGGAAUUUGCAAAGAUAGUACAGAGAGGUUCCAUAUACCCUUUACUUAGUUUCCCCAAUUGGUUACAUCUUACGUAAUGUAAGUAUAGUACGAUAUCAAAUCCAGGAAAAAAAAAAGUUAAGAUAUUUAAAUUCAAUUGGCCAACAUACAGUAUAAUACCCAGUACUCAUCCCAUCAAGUGCCCUCCUUUAGUGCCUGUCUCAAAUCCAGGAAAUUAGCCUUGAUAAAAGUACAUAUAGUUCCAUGACAUUUUACCAUAUGUAUAGAUUCCUAUAACUACCACUAUAAUCAAGAUACAAAAUUGUUGCAUCACCACAAAUAUCUUCCUCUUGUUCUCCUUUCUAGUCACACCCAUACCUCUUCUCCCCACCAUCCCUAACCCUAGGCAGCCACUAAUAAUUUCUCCGUCUGUGAUUUUGUCAUUUUGAGAAUGUGACAUAAAAGGAUUCCUAUGGUAUGUGACCUUUUGAGAUUGGAUUUUUUUUCAUUUGACACAGUACUCUUGAGAUCCAUCUAAGUUGAUCUGAGUUUUAGUAGUUUAUUUCUUUUUACUGCUGAGUAGUAUUCCAUGAUAUGAAUGUACUGUUUUAUUUGACUAGUCACUUUGUAGGGUAUUUGGUUGUUUCCAGCUCUUGGCUGUUAUAAAUAAAGCCGUUGUGAACAAUUGUACACAGAUUUUUGUGUGGACAUAAAUGUUCAUUUCUGUGAGAUAAAUGCCCAGGAGUGUGAUUGAUAGAUCAUACAUUAAUUGCAUGUUUAGUUUUAGAAGACACUGCCAAACGACUUUCCAGGGUCACUCUUCCAUUAGAGUCUUACCAGCAACACAUGAGAGAUCCAGUUCCUAUGCAUGCAUUACCAGCAUUUGAUAUUUUCACUCUAAAAAAUUUAGCUGUUCUCAUAGGUAUACAGUUUUAUCUCAUUGUGAUCUUAAAUUACUUUUCCCUUAAUUGCUAGUGAUGCUGAACAUCUUUUCAUGUGCUUAUUUGUCAUCCAUAUAUUCUUUUUGGUGAAAUGUCUGUUCAUGCACUUUGCCUAUUUUCUAACUGGAUUGUUUUCUUACUGUUGAGUUUUAAGAGUUCUUUAUAACUUCUAGUUAUCUAGGUAUCUAUAUAACAGAUAUGUGGUUUACAAAUGUUUUCUCCCAGUCUCUGGAUUGUCCUUUCAUCCUUUUCACGUGAGCUUUUAUAGAUUGAAUGUUUAAUUUUAAGGAUAUCCAAUUUACUAAUUUUUCUUUUGUGGAUUAUGCUUUUGAUGUCAUGUCUAAGAACUCUUCCCCAAGUUCUGAAGAUCUUUUCUUACAUUUUCUUCCAUUUUUAUAGUUUUACUUCUUAGAUUUACAUUUAUGAUACAUUUUGAAUUGACUUUUAUGUAAGGUGUAAGAUUUAGGUCAAGAAUUUUUUUUAUAGCUAUCCAUUGCUGCAGCACCAACUAUUGAAAAAACUAUCUUCUCUCCAUUGAAUUGCUUUUAUACCAUUAUCAAAAAUCAUUUGGCUUUAAUUCUGUAGGUCUAUGUUCACUCUUCUGCUCUAUUGAUCUGUAUGUUCCUCUGCCAACACCACACAAUCUUGAUUAGUUUAGCUAUAUAAUAUCUUGAAAUAGGAUAGAAUGGUUCCCUCCACUUUAUUCUUUUUCAAAAUUGUUUUAGCUAUUUUAGUUUAUUUGCCUUCCUACAUAAAUUUUAGAAUAAUCUUAUCUAUCUCUACAAAGUCAUUUCUGAGAUUUUUGUAGGAAGUGCAUUAAACAUAUUUAUCACUUUGGGGGAGAAUUAAUGUCUUUGUUGAGUCAUCUGAUCCAUGAUCAUAGUAUAUUUCCUCAUUUAUUUAAAGACUUCUUCGGGGAUCCCUGGGUGGCUCAGCGGUUUGGCUCCUGCCUUUGGCCCAGGGCGCAAUCCUGGAGUCCCGGGAUCGAGUCCUGCGUCAGGCUCCUGGCACGGAGCCUGCUUCUCCCUCUGCCUGUGUCUCUGCCUCUCUCUCUCUCUCUCUCUCUCUCUCUCAUGAAUAAAUAAAUAAAAUCUUAAAAAAAAAAAAAGAUUUCUUUGACUUCUUUUCAGCAGUGUUUUGUAGUUUUCAGCAUAGGAGCCCUGUACAUGUUUUGUUAGAUUUAUACCUAAGUAUUGUAUUUUAAAAAUAAUAGUUUUAUUGAGAUUUUUUUGGCAUGAUUUUAAAUAGUAUUUUAUUUUUAAUUUUGGUUUCUAUGUGUCCUUGCUAGUUUAUAGGAGUACAGUUGAUUUUUGUGUGUUGAUCUUAUGUCUUGCAACCUUGUUGAACUCAUUAGUUCUAGGAGGUUUUUUGGUAGGCUUCUCAAGAUUUUUCAUGUAGGUGAUUAUGUCAUCUGCAAAUAGGAGUAGUUUUGUUUCUUCCUUUCCUAUCCGUAUGCCUUUUAUUUCUACUUCUUGCCUUACUGCACUGGGUAGAACUUCCAGUAAUGUGUUUAAUAGUCAUUGUGAGAACAGCAUCCUCAUUCCUGAUUUUAGAGGGAAAACAUUCAGUCUUUAACCAUUAAGUAUGAUGUUAACCAUAGGCUUUUUUGUAGUUGCUCUUCACCUAGUUGAGGAAAUUCACCUCUAUUCC